GCCGGGUGUGGUGGCUCACGCCUGUAAUCCCAGCACUUUGGGAGGCUGAGGCGGGUGGAUCACCUGAGGUUGGGAGUUUGAGACCAGCCUGACCAACAUGGAGAAACCCCGUCUCUA
rnacentral:SRP_RNA from 1 species